CUAAUUGAUUUGCUAAGAUCCUGUAACUAUACCAUCUUAUUAUCCACAAAGAACUGAAAUAUAAUAAGAAAAAUGGAUUAUGAUAUUGAGUAUUUCAUUGUAUGUGUCAAUGAAGGAAGCACUGUUAUGCUACAUCUGCCAACAUGUUCUGGAAGACCUUUUACAAGCUUCUUUUGAACAUAUUUUCUGUGCUUCCUGUAUUCAUGGAUGAUUGGUGUAUCACAUCAUCUGCCCUGAAGAUACAGACAAGCACUUAAUAUGUCAGUGCUCUGACCUUUACAGGUUAGCAAAUUGAAUGGCUUAACUUAUUUGGUCAUUUAGCAGCAUAUAAAUGCAGAAUCCAGGAAUGCCCUAAAGGCUCAACUUAGAAGACAUGCUACUGCAUAGUAGAACUGCUUAGAUUGGGGCAGAAGAGGUAAAGCAGGAGAUGGAGUCAUACUGGAUUUGCUGAGGCAGCAUUUGAUACAAAAAAGAACAUCUGCUAAAUCUAAUUGAAAAACUAAAGGUGCUACACAAUUCUUCAACCUAGGAACAUCCAUAAUGGAUCUGUCACCUUAUUACAGUCAUAUGAACUUUGUAAUCAUUUGCUUCUAAAUGUAGCAUUUAAUUGCAAUUGUUAUAAACAUUUCUGAAUGUUCCUGCUACUUAGUAAUGGAGUUAACAAUUUAUUGCAUUAUUAAAAUUUUUAUCCCAAAUGGAAAUUAUACUUUUUUAAAGAAACUGUUUGCAUAAAAGUUUUUAAAACAUGUACUAUGCCA
rnacentral:lncRNA from 1 species